rnacentral:rRNA from 1 species
AUUGAACGCUGGCGGCAGGCCUAACACAUGCAAGUCGAGCGGUAGCACGGGAGAGCUUGCUCUCUGGGUGACGAGCGGCGGACGGGUGAGUAAUGUCUGGGAAACUGCCUGAUGGAGGGGGAUAACUACUGGAAACGGUAGCUAAUACCGCAUGAUGUCGCAAGACCAAAGUGGGGGACCUUCGGGCCUCACGCCAUCGGAUGUGCCCAGAUGGGAUUAGCUAGUAGGUGGGGUAAUGGCUCACCUAGGCGACGAUCCCUAGCUGGUCUGAGAGGAUGACCAGCCACACUGGAACUGAGACACGGUCCAGACUCCUACGGGAGGCAGCAGUGGGGAAUAUUGCACAAUGGGCGCAAGCCUGAUGCAGCCAUGCCGCGUGUGUGAAGAAGGCCUUAGGGUUGUAAAGCACUUUCAGCGAGGAGGAAGGCGUUGUAGUUAAUAGCUGCAGCGAUUGACGUUACUCGCAGAAGAAGCACCGGCUAACUCCGUGCCAGCMGCCGCGGUAA